UACAGCCAUAUCACAUUGAAACACCAGUUCCUGUCUGAUCGCCAAAGUUAAGCAACAAUGAAUCUGGUUAGUACCUAGAUGGGUGACUGCUUGGGAAUAUCAGGUGCU